ensembl:lncRNA
AAAUAAAUAAAUAAAUGUCUCUGUGUGUGAAACGCUGAUCUAACUUGGCUGCAAUUUUAAAAGUAGUCCGGUUUCCACAGAAACACACCCUGACAGCCGAGCCCCAGACACCCCCACCCCCGCGAGAAUCCAAAUCUCGCGAUAUGAGAGGAUCGUCUGGUUUGCUGCUCUAAGAUGGCGAAGACAUGUAGGAGUCACUGUCUCAGGCUCGUGAAGAGGAUACAGCAAUGUUUUUCUGAGGAUGGUGUGACCAAAUUGGCUGAGCUUUGGUAAGAGGAUUUUGCAUCUUAAAACAGCCAGUAUUCCUGGGUAUUACUACUUUACUGUUUGUGUCAGUCCACCACUGAUGACAUGUGAUGCUUCUAAUGAUGGAUAUACUAUCUUCAAUCAUCUUUAUUACCUCUGUAUCUCUGUAGCUGAUGGAACCAACAGCAAAUACAGAAAAAACAAGCGAAGACCAUAAGAAAUAGGAUCUCUUUCAUUUUAUGACAAAAAUAUACUCCCUAGAAAGACUGGAUUUAGUCUAUUUGAGCAAUUUAGAUUAGCAAUAUUUAGUGUGGUUAACUAGAAUCUUGAAAUGGUAUAUAAUUUUUAAAAUACAUUUUUCUCUUGACCUAUCAAACUGCACAAUCAGCACUGGUUUCUGUUCAGUAUUCCUGUUCAUGAAGUGACUACAGCUGUAAAUCUGUGCUUCCUCCAGCCUCGGUGUUAUGAUCGUGGACUGUGGUGCUGGGGGCUGUGAGCUGAGGUAGUAGUUUGUAUAGUUUGGGAUCACACCAGAUCUAGGAGAUAACUAUACAGUCUACUGUCUUUCUCACGGCUCCUGCGUCGCAUCAUGCCCUCCAUCAUGGAAGUAGAGAAAAUGUAAAUGGAGCGCUCCAAGUGAAACGUACAGCAUGGGACAUGUUCGGAUGUGGCUUGGGUGUGCUGAGGUAGUAAGUUGUGUUGUUGUGGGGGAUGGUAUUAUUUGCCCUUUUUUUUUUUUGGAGAUAACCAUACAUCUUACUGCCUUCCAUGCCAGAGUCCUGAACCACAGCAAUUAGUAUAAAUAAUUCCAUCCUGAACAAUUGAUGUAUUUUAUUAUAUGCAUUGCCUAUGAAUAUUUUAUCUGUUGUCUGUUCUUCAGGAAGUACAUUCAAUAAACUGAGCA